AACGAACGCUGGCGGCAGGCUUAACACAUGCAAGUCGAGCGCCCCGCCAGGGGAGCGGCGGACUGGUGGGUAGCGCGUGGGGACGUACCCUUAUCUUCGGGAUAGCUCCGGGAUACUGGAAUCAAUACGGAAUGUGGGCUUUGGGGGGAAGAGUUAUCGUAUAAGGAUCGGGGCGUGUGGGAUUGGCGGGGGGGUGGGGUAAAGGCCUAGCAAGGCGACGUUUCAUGGCUGGUAUGGGAGGCUGAGAAGUCACAUUGGGACUGAGACACGGCCCCCACUCCUACGCGAGGGAGCAGAGGGGAAUAUAGGAGAAUGGGCGCAAGCCUGAUACAGCCACGCGGGGUGAGUGAUGCAGGGCUUAGGGUUGUAAAGCUCUUUGAGCGGAGAAGAUAAUGACGGUAUCCGGAGAAGAAGCCCCGGCUAACUUCGUG
rnacentral:rRNA from 1 species